rnacentral:rRNA from 1 species
UACGGAAGGGCAGCAGUGGGGAAUAUUGCACAAUGGGCGAAAGCCUGAUGCAGCUAUGCCGCGUGUAUGAAGAAGGCCUUAGGGUUGUAAAGUACUUUCAUCGGGGAGGAAAAAACAAAACUAAUAAUUUUAUUUCUUGACGUUACCCGAAAAAGAAGCACCGGCUAACUCCGUGCCAGCAGCCGCGGUAAUACGGAGGGUGCUAGCGUUAAUCAGAAUUACUGGGCGUAAAGAGCACGUAGGUGGUUUUUUUAAGUCAGAUGUGAAAUCCCUGGGCUUAACCUAGGAACUGCAUUUUGAAACUGAAAUACUAGAGUAUCGUAGAGGGAGGUAGAAUUCUAGGUGUAGCGGUGAAAUGCGUAGAUAUCUGGAGGAAUACCUGUGGCGAAAGCGGCCUCCUAAACGAAUACUGACACUGAGGUGCGAAAGCGUGGGGAGCAAAACAGGGAUUUAGAUACC